rnacentral:misc_RNA from 1 species
GCUAAACUAAAUAUUCACUCCCGUUAGGAUCCAAAAAGGAUCACAAGAAAGAAAAAGGAAACAGUAAGGGGAAAAAUAUAAAAAGGACAUCCAAUUCCAAAAUCAUGGUAAAGCUCCCAAUUUUCAGAUGUAUAAAUGGCUGAAGAAAAACUAGAAGCAAACAGAUAAGAUACACUAAAUGAAAAUAUUCAAAAAAAAAAAAAAA